UAAACCAUCCAGGUUCCAUCUGCCUUGA
rnacentral:piRNA from 2 species